AGGGACUGGAGAGAUGGCUCUGA
rnacentral:piRNA from 1 species